rnacentral:lncRNA from 1 species
UGUAACUUUCCUGAGGCCUCUUCAUCCAAGCAGAACUGUGGGAGCAUUCUUCAAGUUUCAAAGAGGAGGUAAUAAAAUUGGCACCUUACUGGGAAGGCAUGCAGUGUUACCGAGCAGGUCAAGAUUCAACCAGCUGUGAAAAAUAAAUAAACGGAUCUCACUCUGUUGCCCAGGCUGGAAUGCAGUGGCGCGAUCUCAGUUAACUGAAACAUC